UUGAGGCGUGAUGAUACUUACCCAUAACUUAUUCUGCAUUUGAAUGAUGAUUAUAUAAUCAUGCACUACCAUCUGAUCUCUC